rnacentral:rRNA from 1 species
GACAGAGGGUGCGAACGUUGCUCGGAAUUACUGGGCGUAAAGCGCGUGUAGGCGGGUGAUCAAGUCAGGUGUGAAAUCCCCAGGCUCAACCUGGGAAUGGCAUUUGGGACUGCAAGGCUGGAGUAUGGCAGAGGAGACUAGAAUUCCUGGUGUAGCAGUGAAAUGCGUAGAUAUCAGGAGGAAUACCGAUGGCGAAGGCAGGUCUCUGGGCCAAUACUGACGCUCAUGCACGAAAGCGUGGGGAGCAAACAGG